CCUACGGGAGGCAGCAGUGGGGGAUAUUGCACAAUGGGGGAAACCCUGAUGCAGCGACGCCGCGUGAGUGAAGAAGUAUUUCGGUAUGUAAAGCUCUAUCAGCAGGGAAGAAAAUGACAGUACCUGACCAAGAAGCCCCGGCUAACUACGUGCCAGCAGCCGCGGUAAUACGGAGGGGGCAAGCGUUAUCCCGAUUUACUGGGUGUAAAGGGAGCGUAGACGGUUAUGUAAGUCUGGAGUGAAAGCCGGGGGCCCAACCCCGGGACUGCUUUGGAAACUGUGUAACUGGAGUACAGGAGGGGCAGGCGGAAUUCGUGGUGUAGCGGUGAAAUGCGUAGAUAUCAGGAGGAACACCAGCGGCGAAGGCGGCCUGCUGGACUGAAACUGACGUUGAGGCUCGAAAGCGUGGGGAGCAAACAGGAUUAGAUACCCCUGUAGUC
rnacentral:rRNA from 1 species